rnacentral:rRNA from 1 species
GGGUUGUGAGGUUAAGCGACUAAGCGUACACGGUGGAUGCCCUGGCAGUCAGAGGCGAUGAAGGGCGUGCUAAUCUGCGAUAAGCGCCGGUAAGGUGAUAUGAACCGUUAUAACCGGCGAUACCCGAAUGGGGAAACCCAGUGUGAUUCGUCACACUAUCAUUAACUGAAUCCAUAGGUUAAUGAGGCGAACCGGGGGAACUGAAACAUCUAAGUACCCCGAGGAAAAGAAAUCAACCGAGAUUCCCCCAGUAGCGGCGAGCGAACGGGGAGGAGCCCAGAGCCUGAAUCAGCAUGUGUGUUAGUGGAAGCGUCUGGAAAGGCGCGCGAUACAGGGUGACAGCCCCGUACACAAAAGCGCAUGUGCUGUGAGCUCGAUGAGUAGGGCGGGACACGUGGUAUCCUGUCUGAAUAUGGGGGGACCAUCCUCCAAGGCUAAAUACUCCUGACUGACCGAUAGUGAACCAGUACCGUGAGGGAAAGGCGAAAAGAACCCCGGCGAGGGGAGUGAAAAAGAACCUGAAACCGUGUACGUACAAGCAGUGGGAGCACCCUUUGGGGUGUGACUGCGUACCUUUUGUAUAAUGGGUCAGCGACUUAUAUUCUGUAGCAAGGUUAACCGUAUAGGGGAGCCGGAGGGAAACCGAGUCUUAAUUGGGCGUUAAGUUGCAGGGUAUAGACCCGAAACCCGGUGAUCUAGCCAUGGGCAGGUUGAAGGUUGGGUAACACUAACUGGAGGACCGAACCGACUAAUGUUGAAAAAUUAGCGGAUGACCUGUGGCUGGGGGUGAAAGGCCAAUCAAACCGGGAGAUAGCUGGUUCUCCCCGAAAGCUAUUUAGGUAGCGCCUCGUGAAUUCAUCUCCGGGGGUAGAGCACUGUUUCGGCUAGGGGGCCAUCCCGGCUUACCAACCCGAUGCAAACUGCGAAUACCGGAGAAUGUUAUCACGGGAGACACACGGCGGGUGCUAACGUCCGUCGUGAAGAGGGAAACAACCCAGACCGCCAGCUAAGGUCCCAAAGUCAUGGUUAAGUGGGAAACGAUGUGGGAAGGCCCAGACAGCCAGGAUGUUGGCUUAGAAGCAGCCAUCAUUUAAAGAAAGCGUAAUAGCUCACUGGUCGAGUCGGCCUGCGCGGAAGAUGUAACGGGGCUAAACCAUGCACCGAAGCUGCGGCAGCGACGCUUAUGCGUUGUUGGGUAGGGGAGCGUUCUGUAAGCCUGUGAAGGUGGCCUGUGAGGGUUGCUGGAGGUAUCAGAAGUGCGAAUGCUGACAUAAGUAACGAUAAAGCGGGUGAAAAGCCCGCUCGCCGGAAGACCAAGGGUUCCUGUCCAACGUUAAUCGGGGCAGGGUGAGUCGACCCCUAAGGCGAGGCCGAAAGGCGUAGUCGAUGGGAAACGGGUUAAUAUUCCCGUACUUGGUGUUACUGCGAAGGGGGGACGGAGAAGGCUAUGUUGGCCGGGCGACGGUUGUCCCGGUUUAAGCGUGUAGGUGUGUGUUCCAGGUAAAUCCGGUUCACUUUAACACUGAGGCGUGACGACGAGGCACUACGGUGCUGAAGCAACAAAUG